AGGAAGAAACAAAAACAUAGGCAGUGCCUUGCCUGAGUGGAAGUUUGGAAGGGACACUCCGUCAAGAUGCAGAAAUCCCGUAGAUCGGAUUGGGGAAGGGGUUCUCCUGGUUUAUAAAAUGUAUAUCCUGUCUUGAAAAGGCAUGCCUUUAGUCUCCACUGACAAGGAAAAAGAGAUGCCUACUUUAAGAAGACAUUCAAGUAUUACAACAUAUCCGAAAAACAGGGGACUGAGAGAAAUCGCAAGAACACACUAUCCCCACAAACAUAGAAAUUAAAAUCCACACAGCCGGCAUAAAGCACAUACAGUAGUAAGUUUUCAGGCUUUCAGAACUCCCAAGUAGCAUCUCCUCAUACCUACACUCUGAAACCAUGGGACAGAGCCUUGGUUCUAAGAAUCCAGAGAUGAUUAAAUCCCAGGAACAUCAACUAUCUUUAGAAGCAUGACAAUCAUGGCAUUCACUAAAGCACAGCAACUGCAGUGACCUCACCAGACUGAGCCUGCCGGCAUUCAGCCAUGGGUGAGGGACAGGCCGGUGGGACCACUCCCCACCCGACCCAGGGGAGCUAGUGGCCGUUAAAGGCUGCUGAGAGAGAGAGGAAGUCCUUGUAGCUACUGUGUGAAGUCAGCAGCUUUGAAAACCAUUGUCUGUUAGAGAGAGUGAUGGGAAGAUGUCAUCUGAGGUCACUCAACCCAGCUCCAGCAGCUGCUUAGAAUGGCUAUCCAGUUCCCGAUUCCCUCUGUUAACCAAGAUUGUGAGAAGCUCAUCAAACAGCUCACCUCUGCCUCAUUCACUGCAGCUAUUCACACUCACCAAGGACCACAAACACCCAGAUGUGUGUUGACACCGAGUCCUGUCUGCCUGUGGCCCUCCAGAAUUCUGAACGGACUUGAAAAUUAUGGUCAGAGUCCACCGGAAUUUGAAGAAAAGGAAUAAAGCGAUUGUGAAAGCUGUUGGCUAUUAUUCUUGUUAGCUUGCUCAUGUAGAAUAUUUUCAAUUAAAUAAGCACAAGUGUGUUUCCCCAAAGGAAGUGACAGCUAAGUCAUUGGAGGGAACAAACAUCCAGUCACAGUAACUCUCUGAAAGUUUGCCCUCCACCUCUGAAAGGCUUCUGUUCUGCUAGAAUCUCCCGCUUAUCAUGUAAGAGAAAAUUUGUCAUGGUGGAAACAGGCCCCUUUGAUUCUAAAAGAAAUCAAGGACCCUUUCUCAGAUUACCCAGACCAAAUUCUACAUUAGUGGCAGACAGAAGAGCCACAGGGUCUAUCUUUAAUAGAUCCUGAUGACCAAUAAGGCUAGCAGUCUCUGCAGACAGCUUGCUCCAGGAUCCUGUCUCUGCCUCCCCAAGCUGGAAUUACAGGAGGGCUGUUAUACUCACCUGGAAUUUACAUGAGUCCUGGGGUUCCGAACACUGGUCCCCUUGCGUUGGGGACACGCACUUGAACUUCCGAGCCAUCUCUCCAGCCCAAGAUUAGUAUUUUUGAUUGAUUAAGGGAAUCCUAACACAUGCAACCCAAGUGGUGACCUUGCUUGCUUCUUUCUCUUGGCCCUUGAGUGAGGUAACAGCAGGAAAUGCUUGCUCCUCUGGUAACCAUUGCUCUCAAAAUGUACAGGUAUAAAAA